rnacentral:rRNA from 1 species
AGAACGAACGCUGGCGGCAGGCCUAACACAUGCAAGUCGAACGCUGUAGCAAUACAGAGUGGCAGACGGGUGAGUAACGCGUGGGAACAUACCCCUCGGUUCGGAAUAGCUCAGGGAAACUUGGAUUAAUACCGGAUACGUCCGUAAGGAGAAAGAUUUAUCGCCGAAGGAUUGGCCCGCGUCUGAUUAGCUAGUUGGUGAGGUAACGGCCCACCAAGGCGACGAUCAGUAGCUGGUCUGAGAGGAUGAUCAGCCACAUUGGGACUGAGACACGGCCCAAACUCCUACGGGAGGCAGCAGUGGGGAAUAUUGGACAAUGGGCGCAAGCCUGAUCCAGCCAUGCCGCGUGGGUGAUGAAGGCCCUAGGGUUGUAAAGCCCUUUCGGCGGGGAAGAUAAUGACGGUACCCGCAGAAGAGGCCCCGGCUAACUUCGUGCCAGCAGCCGCGGUAAUACGAAGGGGGCUAGCGUUGCUCGGGAUCACUGGGCGUAAAGCGCACGUAGGCGGCUUUUUAAGUCAGGGGUGAAAUCCUGGAGCUCAACUCCAGAACUGCCUUUGAUACUGAGAAGCUCGAGUCCGGGAGAGGUGAGUGGAACUGCGAGUGUAGAGGUGAAAUUCGUAGAUAUUCGCAAGAACACCAGUGGCGAAGGCGGCUCACUGGCCCGGUACUGACGCUGAGGUGCGAAAGCGUGGGGAGCAAACAGGAUUAGAUACCCUGGUAGUCCACGCCGUAAACGAUGGAUGCUAGCCGUUGUCGGGUUUACUCGUCAGUGGCGCAGCUAACGCAUUAAGCAUCCCGCCUGGGGAGUACGGUCGCAAGAUUAAA